CAGAACAGGAUGGACCCAUCAUCCAAUAUUUGGUUCCCACCCGAAAUACGGUUUGGAUGUCAAGACUGAUGAUGUCAUGCAUGCACCGAGAGUUUUUGUGUUUAGAUUUGCUAUCACAGAAUCCAUGUUUUUAACGUCCAGGAGAGAACAACAAGUUGAAUGACCCACGUGCUUCCUACCAGACCACCUGUAUUUCCACUUGGAAAUUCACACACUGUUUCCUCUCAGAAGAGUUUAUCAGUAGGCAGAAGAGGACAGGCCAUGUGGGCAUACAGGAGGAAGGUGUCAGGAAGACAACUCUCACCAAGAACUGAAUUUGCAGGAACCUUGAUCUUGGACUUCCAGCUUCCAGAACUGUGAGCAAAUAAGUGUCCAUUGUUUAAGCCAUCCAGUCUGUGGUAUUAUUUUUGGCUGCCUGA